rnacentral:misc_RNA from 1 species
UCAUUCUUAAACCCCUAGGUUUAGUAUUGGAGGAUGUAAUUCUUUAUUGAAUAACUCUUCUGAAAUGACUUGGCAUCUUUACCUUGUGUAAAUCUAAGCUUGUAUGAACUUAUUAUUAGGUCUAACCAACUAAUGAGUACUCAUCUGGCGUCUUACGCAAAGAUUUAUUAAAGUGCCUAACAAAAUUUAUCAUUAA